GCGGGAUUACCCGCUGAA
rnacentral:rRNA from 1 species